AUGGGGGUCCCCUCCCUGCAGGGAACGCCGGGGGGAGCGGUGCCCUCUGCCUUACCCGGUAUUUGUUCUCGCCGAUCUGCUCCACUUGAAACCUCUUGGCACACUUGCACUGGGCCACUUGCCUGGUGACCUGCACCGGAGAAAGCGAGCUUGUUUCAGGCAGACAGACUUACUGGACGCCAGGAUGCCAUCGAUGAACUCCUGCCGGGUGAUCUUCCCAUCCUGGUCCUUGUCGAUGCGCCGGAAGAAAUCCAUCACGCGGGACUUCUUGUGGUUCAUCCAGCGCAUGUACUUCUUCCGCCAGACAUCGAAGUCGAAGUUUGCAAACUCCUUCAACUGGAAGGAAAUCGCGAGUCAGCGUGGGAACCCCACAGGAACCACGGGGAACCCCCACCCCCCGCCCCCUCCGCAUCAGCCCCAGGGGGACGAGCGCGGGCCCUCCCAGCACAGAAGGACACACAGCGCAGGGGACAGCCACCACGUCACCACGGACACGGGACGGAGCAUCCCCACGGCCGCGCGGACACACAGGCAGCGCUAGCUACGUGCACACGGACGCACACACACCCUGCUCGGACACGCGGGCUCCUCGCUGCCUGCUGCCACCUCCGCCCUCUCCCCUCCCCUGAGCAGCACCCAGCGCCGUGCUCUCUCCCACAUGGGGCGCAGCCCGGCACCCUCAGCCCUGCAGCAGUGCCGCCAGCCCGCAGCAAACCUCUCGCCCUCCUCCUAACCCCUCCUAACCCCCCAGGGACCCCACCCGCUGCAGGAGCUCACAGCAAGGUGACAAUGGUUUUGAGCACUUUCUUCUUUUCUUUUCUUUUUUUUUUUUAAACAUUUCUCAAGUUAGAAGCAACAAAGGAAAAAUAAAACACUGAUACGCAGAAACUGAACUGACCUACAGAAAAAGCAACGAAAAACAAAAACACUCACUUCUGGGCAUAGCUGCUUUGUUAAGCGUAAAUAAAAACAAAAAUUACAUUAGAUGAUUGGAAAA